UUAAAGAAAAACAAACUUGAUGAGAACGAAAAUCAAUAAAUGAGACUGAAAAAAACAUGAAACCUAUUUUUCUACCCCAGUAAACUCAAACGGUUGGAAUCCAUUAAUAUGCUCGACUUUUCAUUUCAAAAUCCCAUCCGUUCUGAUGAUAGCGAUUUCCAAUGAACUAAACUUUAUUUGCUAUCUAGUUUUUGAAAUUCAUAUUUCUCAAAAAGCUCCUUUAGUCUGGGCAUCUUGACCAUCACCCCUCCGAAACGACAGUUUGACUGUUCAGUCCUUCUCCCAUCAGGUACAAAAUCUUUCCUCUUUCAAGCAUGUUCUUUGCGAUUCUAUGUGCUUGCAAGUUUCCUUCUCUGUGAAUAUGUUGAAAGUUAACUUCUUGAAAACAAGGUUUCAUAUUCUGGAUGUCUCUGAUAAUCGUUCCGAUUACUGAUUUGUCUGUUGAUGUCGUUUGGCACUUUUUUAUUAUUGUUUUGGAAUUCCCCAUGACUUUAACGGAUUGCAUGCCCAUUAGAUCCCUAACUUUAUGGCUUUUAAACAUGCAUAUGCUUCUGUUGCAAACGGGAAGGAGACGUUGUUGUGGAGGGUCAACUUUGAGACCAGAAGUUCACCCCUCAGGCUCUAAACCACCGGACCUGUCGCUGCUUGAAGUUGCUAUUAUCAAAAGCUGUAUCAAACUGAAUCGUUAUUCUCGAUUAACCACAAAGCAUAACAGAAAAGUCGACAUUGUUCGUCGGUGCCUCUCCUAAAAACCCAAGGCAUUGAUGAAAGAUGUGAGGACUGUUUUCGACCCAGGAACAGCAAUGGGGGCGUCUGUCGUUUUAGUGAUUCUUUUGUAUAUGAGAUUAGCUAGAUUAGGAAUGAAAUCCCAGGAAAUUUGCCAAACAGUAAUUGUAAUUUUUGAAGGUAGCUAUAGGUUCCAUAGUUUCCUGUAAAAUUCUUUGAUUUUGGCUUGUAUUAAAUUAUUACUAGGAUUCGUAGUAGUAUCUUGUAAUAGUUUAUAGGCACUGCGUACUGAAAAUUCGCCGGACGGUUCUCCUUUCCAAACUUGAAUAUCUUCGUGGCUUGUCUCUGUAAGAGGGAUCCUUAUGAUUUUCUGAGCAAUAUCCGCUUGAAAGGCAUUAUUAAUCAAAUCUGACCUCUAUUUUUUGUUUGUAGUAUCAAUAA